AUAAUUGGAUCAUGUUUGAUUCCAAUUGUUAGGGAUAAAGAUCCCAUAUUGAAAAUAUAUAAGAAUAUAAAAGGGCUUAUAUGUUAUUUGGGACUCCCAUCUAAGAGUUUAGGCUUUUGGGAUGGGUAUGUCUCUGAAUCCAACUAGUAUAAAGAGCUAUGUCAUGAGAAAGUGCAAAACUUGCAGGCAUUUCAUUGUGAAGCUAAGUAACUUAACUUGUUUAAUAAUUUGAUCCAAUCUCAACCAAAACAUGGAACUAAU
rnacentral:misc_RNA from 1 species